UAGGGAAUCUUCGGCAAUGGACGAAAGUCUGACCGAGCAACGCCGCGUGAGUGAAGAAGGUUUUCGGAUCGUAAAACUCUGUUGUUAGAGAAGAACGUUGCAUAGAGUGGAAAAUUAUGCAAGUGACGGUAUCUAACCAGAAAGGGACGGCUAACUACGUGCCAGCAGCCGCGGUAAUACGUAGGUCCCGAGCGUUGUCCGGAUUUAUUGGGCGUAAAGCGAGCGCAGGUGGUUUAAUAAGUCUGAUGUAAAAGGCAGUGGCUCAACCAUUGUGUGCAUUGGAAACUGUUAGACUUGAGUGCAGUAGAGGAGAGUGGAAUUCCAUGUGUAGCGGUGAAAUGCGUAGAUAUAUGGAGGAACACCGGUGGCGAAAGCGGCUCUCUGGACUGUCACUGACACUGAGGCUCGAAAGCGUGGGUAGCAAACAGGA
rnacentral:rRNA from 1 species